GGCCUGAUAGCUCAACUGGUAGAGAACUGCACCCGCAUUGCAGAGGUCAACAUUCAAAUCCCUCUCAGGCCU
rnacentral:tRNA from 1 species